ensembl:lncRNA
AUCUUUGGACCAGAAAUCCAGAAAAGGAAAUUGCAGAUGCUAAUAUUUUUCAUGUUUAACUCAGAGGGACUGGCAAUAUUUAAUAAAUAAGUAAUAAGCAGUUCCUCAGUGAACUUGCUCUUUAAUAAAUUUGAAUGAAGUAUUUUACUAGUUGUAGUUAAAGUCUCGCUUAAGUCUCGCUCUGUCCCACACAGGUAAACUCUUUCCUUUUUUCUCAUAAUGUUUAAAGCUUCUCUUUACUUUGUGGUGAACAGAUUCGGUUGGCUAGCAGAACAGAUUGCAGUCAUCCCACGGGUCAAACCAGAGAAAAAUUGUGGCUCAGGGAAAACUGGAGCUGUGACCUGGAGCGCAUCACCUGAAAAACAAUUUGGUGUCUUCUGCUUUAAUGACUCAGGUACUGGUACCUUACAGCUCGGUAAAAGAUUUGUUUCAUAAUGAAGCCGACACUGCUGAAUCUGUUUUACCAACCUGUAACAAACGUGUCAUAAAGGCAGUCAUUUUUAGCUCUAUCAGAUCAGGACGAGACAGUGACAACGUUAGCAGCCGGCCUGCCAUCAUCCCCAGCCACCAGCUCACAGGCGGCGCUGACCCGGUCUUCAUCCCCUCUCACAACUUUGGUCACAUCAACAAGGUCUCCACCAUCAACAGAAGUAACCACUCGCCCUAAGGAGACAUCCUUAGAUUUUAAACUCCUGAUGGAGACAACAAGAACUUCCUCCCCCUCCUCCCCAUCACCUAAAACCGAUCCUCCACAUCACCUUAUAACCUCCAAAAAGGCUGAGGUCAGUUUGGAGUUCCUGACUUCCCCUCAGGCAGCAAAGCCUCCACUAGGAGCUGGACCUACAGCGCUGCUCAGUGUCGGGCUUGUUCUGCUGCUCCUGAUAGCAGCAGGUGUCGGGUGGUACUGCAGACCAAGACCUUUUGGUUGGCGUGGCAGACUGCUGAAUGAUGACACAGAGACAGAGAUGUGGAAGAAAACUGACAUAUACUGUGAACCUGAAGCAGACCUAGAUGAAGAUGAAGUAGACAAAACAUACUCAAGCAACAUCACCCUGUGUGUGGAUCCGUGUUUAAAUCAAACUCUGGAUUAGCUGACAUUUCUGUGGAGGUUUGAUGGUGUAAUCAUGUCUUUGCAGCACUGAGGAUAAAAGGUCUCAGACGUGAUGCAGCAGUAAACACUUGGUUUCCACAGACACAAGUCUCUUAUUUAGUUGAUUUCACAGUAAAAUGGUAGUUUGCUGAGGUCAGCUGCAUUAACGGCAGAAAAAACAGAAAAAACUUGUCUUUGUCCCAGAUUCAGAGGAAACUGUCAACAGCCAGAUUUUUACAAAACACGUCUGUAACAUCUGACGCAUUUUAGCCAACACUAUAUAUAAUAAAACAAUUCCCCCUCUCACCCUCCGCGGGUGGUCUCAUCCUUCCAGGCUCGGGUCCUCCACCAGAGGCCUGGGAGCUUGAGGGUCCUGCAGUAUCUUAGCUGUUCCUAGAUCUGCUCUUUUCUGGACUGAGAUGUCUGAUGUUUUAUCUGGGAUCUGCUUUAGCCACUCCUCCAGUCUGGGGGUUACUGCCCCAAGUGACCCGAUGACCACGGGCACCGAUGUCUUCACUCUUCAGGCUUUCUCAAGUUCUUCUUUCUUGUUGUAAUUCUCACCAUUCGCCACCGUACUUCUCUAGUUUCUCCUGUUCCUUUUUCCUGAUGUUACAUCACUUGGUAUUGCCACAUCAACCACAACGGCUGUUAUCUGUUGUUUGUCCACCACCACAAUGUCCGGUUGGUCCACCAUCACCAUUUUGUCAUUCUGGAUCUGAAAGUCCCACAGGAGCUUGGCUCUCUUGUUCUCAGACACCUUAGGGGGUGUUACCCGCUUUGACCUCGGGGCUUCCAGUACAUACUCUGCACAGAUGUUUCUGUGCAUGAUGCCAGCCACUUGGUUGUGGCGUUCCAUGUAUGCUUUCCCUGCCAGCAUCUUACACCCUGCAGAUGUGGUGGAUUAUCUCAUAGCCUACACCUUGGGUCUUGUCUGGUGUGGUAGAUCUUGGCCUCUGUUGCUCUGCUGUUCAGGGCCUGUUCCUGUGCAGCCAUGAUGAGUGUCUCUGACACAGCUUCAGAGAGGUCUUCAGACCAGCUCUUACAGAAUGUCAGUAAUUCAGCUCAGACUGGGAGACCAUCUAAAGGAACACUUUGCAGGUGUUUUGCAUUCAUUAGCUGAUUAGAGUGUGACACUUUGAGUCUAGAAUAUUGAACCUUUUCAUAAUAUUCUAAUUGUCUGAGAUUUUGAAUUUGGGGUUUUCCGUCAGCUGUAAGCCUGAAGACCUGUUGAUUCUUCAUCCUUACAUUUUCUUCAUGCUGCUGUUUCUACCAAUUCUGUCUUCCUUCACACCUUUAAUCUUUUCCUUUUCCUCAUUUGUAAUUCAAACUGUUUCUCUUUGUUGUUCUUGUGAAGCACCUGUGAUUUUUAUCUUGAGACACUAUAAAGAAAACUGUUUCCUCUUCUUUACAAUUAUAACAAAUAAAGGUUUGAAACAUCAGGCUUUGCAUGUCAUGAGUCUAAUUAAUAUAUUAGUUUCACAUUUUAAGACAAAUAAAUGAAAUUUUGCACCAUAUUCUUAGCCUGGCAAGCCAGACUAAAUAAAUGUAUUAUUUAGUCUGGCAACGCUCCAUUGACGGCUCUUGGUUGUGGGGCGGGUUCUACCGUUGUCUUUCAAAUGAUCUCCGCAUUCCACUGGACAAUGAAUGUGAUUCAGGCUGCCUCAAUUCAGGGUCUGCAUCCUUCGUCGGCCGGAUUCGUCAUAGCGCCGCGACCAGGCCUGUCCCAAUUUGAAGACUCCUUCAAAUGCGGUCGACGAAUCCGGCCUUCUUUUUGCCUGUAUGAAGGAUGGGUCCGGUGUAUCCUUCAGUGGUUCACAUUUCCCAAGAUGCCUUGCGGGCCGGACGGCAGAACUUUUAAAAACAAUGGCGGACAGUGAAGCGGGAGCUGUCGGAGAGGAUUGCGCAUAUAAAUGUAAGUAUAAACUUGAAAACUGUUAGGUUAAGGGCUUUUUGUGAUACGCGAACGUUAUUUUAGUCAGAAAUGUUACAGUAAAAGUGCUUGUAUUGCGGUCUCGGCUCGUAUGUUCGGCCGCUCGGUGUCGCACUUCUCCCACUAUGUUUCUCUCCUGAUUUUAAUGGGAGUUUGUAUUUUAGGGACAAAAGAGAAAACCAGGGAAUUUAUUAAGCUUAGGGCGGAGAUGGACCACAUGAUCACUGGAGCAAAGUAUUCGGCGGCUGUGGCAUGGAGGUACAAUAACAUCUCAUAUUUUAAAAACUCAUUUGAAUUUAGUUUUUUCUGCGAAAACAUGAAAGGAAUAACCCGUUGUCCUCUUUUCUCUUCCUGUUUCUUUUCUUACAUGUUUGUUAAGACUAUUCUGGAGAAAAUGGGCAUCCAGGGGAAGGUGCCAGCGAUGACCAGCUUCUGGAGCUGAUCAGGGAGGACAUGAGGCUGCAGAGGGAGGCAGAGCAGCAGAGGGCACAGGAGAGAAGGGAGAACUUUGACAGCUUUUUACUUUGCUAGAAAGAAAUGAUUAAUAAAGAUUAAACAUGUACAUAUAAAAGAAAUAUCUAAAUAAAAUCAGUUCUGUAUUAAACUCUUGAGUUUUAUUUUUGCUUACAAAUGAGAAUUGUUUACUAGAGGGUAUCCCGCUGGGUCUUAAAGUCUUAAAAGGUGAUAAAUCGGUUUUGGUCAAAUUAAGACCCUUAGAAAGUAUUAAAAACUAUAAUCACUAUAAUCAUCUGAGCUCAGGCUCAGCUUGUCAAAAGUAUUUUCUCUGAAUUAGCUCUCCAACAGUCAAGGAAACGAUUAAAAAGCUAAAACUUCGGGCUCCAUCGUUUAAAGUUCCUUCUGCUCAGCGGUUCCACGGUUGCUAGGCGACGGAACGUUUGCCGAAGGAGUGGCGGGAAUUCAUGAAGGCUAGGCCUGUCAAAAUGGCUGCGUCUGCAGCUAGACCUUACUCAAAUUCACAGCCGUUAACAUCCGGUCUAUGGGGAGGACCCAGCCCACGUCGGCCGAGUAGGCUGGGUCCUUGAAGGAUGCAGACCCUGAAUUGAGACCUGAGACACAGCCUUUGAAACCCCUCUAGAGAGCUGUGAUUGGCUAGCCAGUCCUGGUAGGAGCUGCGGAGGUUCCAAUGGAGCGUGCCUAGACUAACUUUGCAAAGCAAGAAUUUGGUCUAGUUCACUAGGCUACCAUAUUAUACUUUAUAGCUUCAACUGAUAGUGUUGUUGUAAUUCUCACCAUUCGCCACCGUGGCGCUGUUGAGUCUCGUGAACCGCGGUAGGUCACAUGGUCACACCAAAGAAGACCCACAUCCACCUUCAGCUAGCAGGAGCUGGCAUGUUGUCAUUUCUGCUCUUCGUGUUAUUUUCUAAUUGAACGAGUUA